CCUACGGGUGGCAGCAGUCGAGAAUCAUUCACAAUGGGGGAAACCCUGAUGGUGCGACGCCGCGUGGGGGAAUGAAGGUCUUCGGAUUGUAAACCCCUGUCAUGUGGGAGAAAAUUAAAAAGAUAGUACCACAAGAGGAAGAGACGGCUAACUCUGUGCCAGCAGCCGAGGUAAGACAGAGGUCUCAAGCGUUGUCCGGAAUCACUGGGCGUAAAGCGUGCGUAGGCGGUUUCGUAAGUCGUGUGUGAAAGGCGCGGGCUCAACCCGCGGACGGCACAUGAUACUGGGAGACUAGAGUAAGGGAGGGGGUAGCGGAAUUCUCGGUGUAGCAGUGAAAUGCGUAGAUAUCGAGAGGAACACUCGUGGCGAAGGCGGGUUCCUGGACAUUAACUGACGCUGAGGCACGAAGGCCAGGGGAGCGAAAGGGAUUAGAUACCCGAGUAGUC
rnacentral:rRNA from 1 species